CCAGUCUUCACAAAGUGUCUUUUAUCUGAAAAGACAGUGUGUUUACAUUAAAAAGCCUACAGGUACAGGCUAUAGACACCAGAACCACUACAUUAAGCUGUAGUGCUUCUGGUGACUAUAGUGUCCAUUUAAGGUGAGGUAAAUUAGAGAUUAGUGCCACUAAUAAUAUAUUGGAUUGCCUACUUACCACCAGAUGAGGACAAGAGGCUGAUGAUGGGCUCUGU
rnacentral:lncRNA from 1 species